rnacentral:antisense_RNA from 1 species
CUUCAGCGACCCGAGGUGGAGCGGCUGCUCCCGGUCCUGGCCGUAGGUGGCGAGGAUCGCGUGCGCCUC